AUUGAACGCUGGCGGCAUGCCUUACACAUGCAAGUCGAACGGUAACAGGUCUUCGGACGCUGACGAGUGGCGAACGGGUGAGUAAUACAUCGGAACGUGCCCGAUCGUGGGGGAUAACGAGGCGAAAGCUUUGCUAAUACCGCAUACGAUCUACGGAUGAAAGCGGGGGAUCUUCGGACCUCGCGCGGACGGAGCGGCCGAUGGCAGAUUAGGUAGUUGGUGGGAUAAAAGCUUACCAAGCCGACGAUCUGUAGCUGGUCUGAGAGGAUGAUCAGCCACACUGGGACUGAGACACGGCCCAGACUCCUACGGGAGGCAGCAGUGGGGAAUUUUGGACAAUGGGCGAAAGCCUGAUCCAGCCAUGCCGCGUGCAGGAUGAAGGCCUUUGGGUUGUAAACUGCUUUUGUACGGAACGAAAAGCCUCUUUCUAAUAAAGAGGGGUCAUGACGGUACCGUAAGAAUAAGCACCGGCUAACUACGUG
rnacentral:rRNA from 1 species